CCAGACUCGUACGGGAGGCAGCAGUAGGGAAUCUUCCGCAAUGGGCGAAAGCCUGACGGAGCAACGCCGCGUGAGUGAAGAAGGUCUUCGGAUCGUAAAACUCUGUUAUUAGGGAAGAACAAAUGUGUAAGUAACUAUGCACGUCUUGACGGUACCUAAUCAGAAAGCCACGGCUAACUACGUGCCAGCAGCCGCGGUAAUACGUAGGUGGCAAGCGUUAUCCGGAAUUAUUGGGCGUAAAGCGCGCGUAGGCGGUUUUUUAAGUUUGAUGUGAAAGCCCACGGCUCAACCGUGGAGGGUCAUUGGAAACUGGAAAACUUGAGUGCAGAAGAGGAAAGUGGAAUUCCAUGUGUAGCGGUGAAAUGCGCAGAGAUAUGGAGGAACACCAGUGGCGAAGGCGACUUUCUGGUCUGUAACUGACGCUGAUGUGCGAAAGCGUGGGGAUCAAACAGGAUUAGAUACCCUGGUAGUCCACGCCGUAAACGAUGAGUGAUAAGUGUUAGGGGGUUUCCGCCCCUUAGUGCUGCAGCUAACGC
rnacentral:rRNA from 1 species